UACGGGGGGAGCAAGCGUUGUUCGGAUUUACUGGGCGUAAAGGGCGCGUAGGCGGUCGUGACAAGUCACUUGUGAAAUCUCCGGGCUUAACUCGGAACGGUCAAGUGAUACUGUCGGACUAGAGUACAGAAGGGGCAACUGGAAUUCUCGGUGUAGCGGUGAAAUGCGUAGAUAUCAGGAGGAACACCGGUGGCGAAGGCGGUGGUCUGGGCCGGCACUGACGCUGAGGAGCGAAAGCGUGGGUAGCAAACAGG
rnacentral:rRNA from 1 species